rnacentral:rRNA from 1 species
AUUGAACGCUGGCGGCAGGCCUAACACAUGCAAGUCGAGCGGUAACAGGAAUUAGCUUGCUAAUUUGCUGACGAGCGGCGGACGGGUGAGUAAUGCCUGGGAAUAUGCCUUAGUGUGGGGGAUAACUAUUGGAAACGAUAGCUAAUACCGCAUAACGUCUUCGGACCAAAGAGGGGGACCUUCGGGCCUCUCGCGCUAAGAUUAGCCCAGGUGGGAUUAGCUAGUUGGUGAGGUAAAGGCUCACCAAGGCAACGAUCCCUAGCUGGUCUGAGAGGAUGAUCAGCCACACUGGAACUGAGACACGGUCCAGACUCCUACGGGAGGCAGCAGUGGGGAAUAUUGCACAAUGGGGGAAACCCUGAUGCAGCCAUGCCGCGUGUAUGAAGAAGGCCUUCGGGUUGUAAAGUACUUUCAGUCGUGAGGAAGACAUUGUAGUUAAUAGCUGCAGUGUUUGACGUUAGCGACAGAAGAAGCACCGGCUAACUCCGUGCCAGCAGCCGCGGUAAUACGGAGGGUGCGAGCGUUAAUCGGAAUUACUGGGCGUAAAGCGCAUGCAGGCGGUCUGUUAAGCAAGAUGUGAAAGCCCGGGGCUCAACCUCGGAACCGCAUUUUGAACUGGCAGACUAGAGUCUUGUAGAGGGGGGUAGAAUUUCACGUGUAGCGGUGAAAUGCGUAGAGAUCUGAAGAAUACCGGUGGCGAAAGCGGCCCCCUGGACAAAGACUGACGCUCAGAUGCGAAAGCGUGGGGAGCAAACAGGAUUAGAUACCCUGGUAGUCCACGCCGUAAACGAUGUCUACUUGAAGGUUGUGGCCUUGAGCCGUGGCUUUCGGAGCUAACGCGUUAAGUAGACCGCCUGGGGAGUACGGUCGCAAGAUUAAAACUCAAAUGAAUUGACGGGGACCCGCACAAGUGGUGGAGCAUGUGGUUUAAUUCGAAGAUACGCGAAGAACCUUACCUAGCCUUGACAUAUUUAAGAACUCCGUAGAGAUACAGAGGUGCCUUCGGGAGCUUUCUUACAGGUGCUGCACGGCUGUCGUCAGCUCGUGUCGUGAGAUGUUGGGUUAAGUCCCGCAACGAGCGCAACCCUCGUCACUAGUUACUAACGGUUCGGCCGAGGACUCUAGUGAGACUGCCUUCGCAAGGAGGAGGAAGGUGAGGACGACGUCAAGUCAUCAUGGCCCUUACGGCUAGGGCAACACACGUGCUACAAUGGCCAGGACAGUGAGACGCGAUACCGCGAGGUGGAGCAAAUCUAUAAACCUGGUCUCAGUUCGGAUUGUAGUCUGCAACUCGACUACAUGAAGCUGGAAUCACUAGUAAUCGUAGAUCAGCUAUGCUACGGUGAAUACGUUCCCGGGUCUUGUACUCACCGCCCGUCACACCAUGGGAGUUGAUUUCACCCGAAGCGGGGAAGCUAAACUGGCUACCCUCCACGGUGGAAUUAGCGACUGGGGUG